AAACUUUCCAGCUAUUUUCUUUCACUUUCUCUGAAUCCAAACUGAAAAGGAAAAAGAAAAUGCCGACGUACAAGAUUAGGGGAAUCGACGUCGACUUCCCGUUUGAGGCCUACGAUUGCCAGCUCGUUUACAUGGAAAAAGUCAUCCAGGCUCUCCAAAGCAGAUGUAAUGCACUCUUGGAGAGUCCUACUGGGACUGGGAAAACUCUGUGCCUUCUGUGUGCUACAUUGGCUUGGAGGAAAAGUUUUGGUCCAUUUUCGACUGGUAAGAUUGAAAGGAAUGGUCGGACUGCAGGAAGCAAAUCUGAUGAUAUGCCAUCAAACUCUGAGGGUAAUGGCCUUCCUACCAUAGUGUAUACUUCACGUACUCACAGCCAGCUUCGGCAAGUUAUUCAAGAGUUGAAGAGGUCAAGCUACAGGCCAAAAAUGGUAAUAUUAGGAUCACGGGAGCAAUUGUGCAUUCAUGAUGAAGUCAGUUUACUACGUGGAAAAGCACAGACAAAUGCCUGCCACUUUGUUUGCAGAAAGCGGGAAAAGAGUCAAUGCACUCAUUAUGCUCGUGUUGGAGACUAUGUGCGGCACAAUCCCCAUCUCGGAGAUGAACCUGUUGACAUAGAGGAUUUGGUUAAUAUUGGAAAACAAUUUGGACCGUGCCCUUAUUAUGUUUCAAAGGAGCUCCACAAGGUGGUAGAUAUUCUAUUUGCACCUUAUAAUUAUCUUAUUGAUCGUAGCUAUAGAAGAUCUCUUAAAAUUGAUUGGGACAACAUUAUACUGAUAUUUGAUGAAGCUCACAACCUGGAAAGCUUAUGUGCAGAUGCAGCAUCUUUUGACUUAUCUUCUGGGCUUCUGACAGCUUGCAUUUCUGAAGCAAAAUCUUGUAUUGACCUUUCUGUAGCAAGAAGAGAAGAAUCCAAUGAUAAAUCACGAAAUCCAGAUAAUUUUGCUAUUCUUAAAGCAAUUCUGCUGAAACUUGAGAAGCGGAUUGCUGAAGUGCCUAUUGAAUCCAAGGAAUUGGGAUUCACAAAGCCUGGGCCUUACAUUUAUGAACUACUUGCUGAUCUUAAUAUCAAUCAUGAGACUGCUACGAAGCUCACUGAUAUAAUUGAGGAAGCUGCUCUGCUUCUUGAGGAAGAUAAGCAGCAUAGAGCAAAAGGCACAGUCUGCAGGCUGGAAAGUAUUGGAGAUAUCCUCAAAAUUAUUUUCAAAGAAAAGAACAAUGGUCAUGCAAAUUUCUAUCGUGUUCAUGUUCAGGAGGUUGAGGCCAGUGCUUCAGAUGCCUUAAAAGGUAAAGCUUCUAGAACUCUCAGCUGGUGGUGUUUUAAUCCUGGUGUUGCCAUGGAAGAGUUCUCCAGGAUGGGUGUUGGCUCCAUUAUAUUGACAUCCGGAACAUUAUCUCCUAUGGAGUCGUUUGCACAAGAGUUGAAAUUAAAUUUUCCUAUUCGGCUGGAAAACCCUCAUGUCAUAUCCUCAAAUCAGAUAUGGGCUGGUGUUGUGUCAGCUGGCCCUUCUGGCCGUCCAUUCAACUCAUCUUAUAGAAAUCGUGAUUCAAUGGAAUACAAACAAGAGCUUGGGAAUGCUAUUGGUAUGUAACACAAUUGUGAACAACAAUAAUAGUGUCUCAGUUAUCAUAUCUGAAUCUUAUUUGAGUGAUUAUUGGAUUUUAUGAAUCUUAUGUUUCAGUCAAUUUUGCUCGAAUUGUACAUGAUGGAUUGCUCAUGUUGUUUCCAUCUUACUACCUUCUGGCAAUGCUUUGGGUGCUAGAAGAAUGUGGUGAGGCAUCAAGCAUGAUCAGUUGUAUUGCAAAAUCUGUUUCCCGUAAUUCUGUAGAUAUCCAAUCUUUUUGGGAUAAAUCGCGGGAUAAAAUUUAAUUUAGUUCUACUACUAGAAUCCUUUUCAAUUACUUAAUGAUAGAAUUCAUAGGUUUGGAAUAGUUCUUAAAUGAUAAAAUUCAAUUGAAUUUUAGUGUUUGGAAUAAUUGAAAAAUGAACUGGAUUUAUGUAAUUUCCUGCACUGCUGCUACUUAUAAUAACAAGAUCUGUUUUCAAGGGUGUUUUUGGUUUUCAUUGAUGUGCCUCACAACCAUUGAACUGAAUAAAUUGAAUUAUUGCAAAAUCAAUCCUAGAUGAUUUCCAAUUCUUCCAAAAGGCAUUUUUCCCUUUAAGAUUCACACUAAUAAAGAUGUUUCAAUCAUGAGAAUUGAGCAAAUUUGAAUUCAAUUGAAUUCUUGCAUUUUAAGACUUUCUGAAUAGAUUGUCGAGUAUAUUUAUGUGUUAUGGUUCAGAGUCAAGCAAAAUUCAACAACAAUAUGGAAAGAAUAUGCAAACAUUAGAAACCUGUUGUAGAACCUAGACAAUCUUCACUGUUUCCUUUGGCAAUUGAAGUAACUAACUCUAUCUGCAAGUUCAAAUAUCAUCAUUCAAAAUAUUUAUCAUUUGCAAUCACUUAGCAUGUUUUUUUGAGCGUAUGCAUGUGUGUUUUGGCUUGGCCAAGCUGAAAGAUACCUCCACUUCUGAUGCAGUUCUUUUUGCUGUUUCUCAUGGCAAGGUAUGUCUUUGUUUGGAGUUUUGAUGAACUAUUUUUUGUGGUGCUCGGGAAAACUUCUAUGCGCUGCACUGACUUAUGAAAAUGCAGAGAUAUUUGCUUCAAAAUGUUUUUAUUCUUUUAUUACUGGAAGUCUUCAUUUGAAACGCUUCAUGAUGACAUGAUCUUUUUAAGAUGCAUAUUGUUCUGUAGCUGUUGAUGCUUGUGUCACUUUUCUUGGUGAAGCCUCUAGAAUAUUGCGACAUCUAUUUCAUAAUUCAAUGACUACUUAUUGCUUAAAUAAAAAAAUAGAAGUUCUCUAAUCUAAACAACCAAAAAUCCAAGGAUUGUGCUAUCAAUUGCUUUGACAAUAUUUUACUCUGGAUUUGUAUCAAUAGUUGAAAUGAGUUUUUUGGUGCUAUAUGAGUCCAUUACAUUGCCAGCUGCUUUUUGUCUACUAAGCUCUCCGCUGCAUUUUAUCCACUAGCUUUAUAAAAUUCCAAGUGACAUUUCUUUCUGUGAUCCUUAUGUGGAUGUUGAAUCACCUGAUACUAUAGUACUAAAGUUUUAUGAUACUAACUGAUAAAUCAACAGGAUAGCUGUGGUGUAUAUUUGCUGAUGGGUAUCUGGCAUACAUUAAUGUUGUCUUGCUCUUGCAUGAUCUUUCCUCAAAUAUUUUGCAUUUCUGGAAUUGUCAUUGCUUGGCAUCUCUUGCUUUAUAAAUGGUGUUUUGACUGCUAAAUACCAAUCAUGUUUGCUUCAAAUUUUAACUUCAUAGAGUAACACGAAAAUUUGUCAGUGUCCAGGCUUGCCUGCCAUGGUUGAUUGUUACUAAUUUGUCAGGUGAGUGAAGGAUUGGAUUUUGUUGAUCAUGCUGGAAGAGCUGUAGUGAUUAUUGAUUAGAUUAAAGCGUGAGUUCUUGAUGAACAGUUGCACUUGCAAGGGGAGGCAUGCAAGAUGCUGAAGUUGCAGAUUCUACGUGGAGAAGAUUGGUAAAGUCAACAAGCAUUAAGAACUGUGAAUCAGGCUGUUGGAUGUGUAAUUCGUCACUGCUAUGAUUAUAGCACAAUUAUUUUCUGUGAUUAAAGGUUCUAUCUUUUCUCCCCAUGAAAUAUAUGAUAUUAGUUUAUUCCGACCAUUCACUACAAUGUACGAACAUGACCAAUCUUCAAAUGGGUUGCCAUCAUAUUUAUUGUGGUUUUUACUGAUUUUAUGAAUCACUUUCAAAAUUGUAGUUGACAUUAGAUUAAAUUGGAUUUGGUGGUCAAAAUUGUGGUUGCUGUGAAGUGUUGAUCAACAUGAUUGUGGUUUUAGAUUUUUGUGGUUCUUGCUUAAACUUCUAAAUAUGUAACAGUUCUUCAAAUUCAAAUUCUCAGUCCCAAAUAUCACUCUGGAUACAGACUCAUAUCAAGGUACAAGCUCUAGGCUUUUGAAUGCUGAUUUUGGUCUACAAAGCUUUUGCAUGUACCUAUUUCUGCUUUUUCAGUGUCAUUCCAAAUUUGGGGAUGUGGUUUUACAUUGAGCUGCUUUUUUCGAGAUGGAGGAGUGCAGGUUCCCACAAAGCUUAAGUCAAUACAAAGUGAAGACAUUGGUAAAAUAUCUUUGUGCUAAAUGAUAUUACUAGUUUAUUGUUACUAUGCUUUCUGUCUGUAGCUCUGUUCUGUUUCUUUAAUAAUAUUGGCAGUUUCUGUUUGCCCUUGGUGAGCUGCCCUACUGAUAUGGAACCCUGGGUGCUCGUUCCUGAAACCAGAAUAAUAUAUUUCAACCAAAAACAAAAUAUGCUUAUAGAGGCUUGAACCUAUGCAGUGGAAAGAUAUCUCAUUCUUUUUCAUUGUUUAAUUAAGUCUUCCAUUCUUGUCUUUUAAACAAAAACAAUUUAUGCCUUGACUUGGUGAUGUCUUUGGUGCAGAAAGUGCCAGGGAGGUGAAAACUUCACAAUCUGUGGACUAAUUUUACCUGGACAAUUUUCUUAAUUCGAUCACACCAAUGGAUCAGAGUUACACCAUGAAAUCAUUGUCCUCUUUACUUGAUGUUAGAAGAGGCAAGGAUUUGAGGCAACUGGAGGAGGUUCUUCCUGCUAAUUGAUCAUCUCUCACUACUUUCAAGGAAAAUCAGGAUUUCAAAUUGAAGAAUUCAAGUGGUCUAAUCUGUAAUGAGAAAACAUAGCUAAUUUUUGGGAGGAAAAAUAUGCAACAUCAAUAUCACAAGACAAUUGAUUUGACUGGCAAGUCUUUAUUGGAUGCAAUCCCAAGCAGAGAGAAAUUGUUGGUACCAUAUACUGCAAAGAAGCAUAAAGGAUUUAACUUGGAGCUUGAAUUAAAGGGCCGGAUAGAAAAUACUCAGGAGCACUCAUCUAGUGUCAAAAGAGAUCAUGGUAUUGCACAGGAGGACUCAGAAUUCCUCGCUCAGAAAAACAAGGUGUUCACACUGCUCUGGUACCUUGUAGUGAUGAGGACGAUGAGGAAAAAAGAGGAUCUGCAUUUCUGAUUCAGAUUCAAGGAUUAUAUUCCUACAAAGUAUCAUUCUUUAUACGAGCACUAUCUUGAAGCAAAUUAUGAAACACUACAUAACCAAAUGCAGCAUAAGUGAUUGGAGACACUGUAUGACCACGUCUAAAACUGCCAAUUGAAGCAAUUGAAUUGUGUAAGCAAUUCUUAUACUGGAAUCCAUAUUUCUCGUGUGGUUGCAGUACAAGUAGCUUUUGGUGUGGUGUUAAUGUCACCAUGGGAUAAGGAAACUUUUUCCUGUAAUUUGGUUUAAGGCUACACUCCUUGGCUGACAGUGAUACUUUUUUUACAAUGCCUUUGGAAUCAAAGCCAACAAGCUAUGCUGAUAUAUAGUCAAAUACAGCACCUGUAACUAUGAUGGAUGUAGAGAUUAAAUUUGAAGGACUCCCAUCUCCUUGAUUGCUUCCUGUUUCAUAGUGCAGCAAAGAAUUUGGGGUCGCCUAUUAUUUAUUGCAGAACAAGUUUACCGUUUGUAUGCAAGUUUGAAGAAGCUUUUGGGAUCGAGGCUGCAAUUGCAUGCAUCAAAAUUAGUAGUUCUUCUUCUCUGACCAAAAAAGAAAAUGUUUUGAGCCUUCUGAUAUCCUUUUUGGAUGUACUUAAAUGGUGCUUUAGAAGGUUAAAGCAGGGCAUCUAUAAUAUAAGAAACUUUUGUUAAUGAUCAAUGAAACUGAGUUUCGAUUCUGU
rnacentral:misc_RNA from 1 species